rnacentral:rRNA from 1 species
UACGGAGGGUGCGAGCGUUGUUCGGAAUCACUGGGCGUAAAGCGCGUGUAGGCGGCCCACUAAGUCUGAUGUGAAAGCCCGGGGGCUCACCCCCCGGAAGUGCAUUGGAAACUGGUGGACUCGAGUCCCGGAGAGGAGAGUGGAAUUCCGUGGUGUAGCGGUGAAAUGCGUAGAUAUCAGGAGGAACACCGGUGGCGAAGGCGGCUCUCGUGGACGGUGACUGACGCUGAGGCACGAAGGCCAGGGGAGCAA